GCCUGCUGAAAAUGGGGCGGGACUGAUGCGCCUUACAGACAGCGCUCAGGGCAUCAAACUCAUUCAUUGGUCGCUGCUGUUGUACGAAGGCUAACGUUGUAGCCGCUUUAAUUCAAGACAAAUACAGUGAGAAGUCAUAAAAAAGUGUUUCAGCGGCGCAUCGUGCCAUGGAUCUGCUAUGACCGAACCCGAGGACCAGUCGUGGCCGCGUAUGGUGCGUCUGUUCGGGGCACUUUCAGCCACUUGCAGGAGAAAGAAGGAGAAGACUGCUCGAAGUAAUUUGUUAUUGCUUACAUCCUCAACGCCCUGAGAGGUUUUCUGACUGGGCGAGGGAGGACAUGGCCAGCCUACAGCAAACAGACCUGUCAUAUGCUUGGGAGAAGUAUAUGGAUUGCAGACUUCAAGGAGCUGAUCUGCAGGUUGGUCUCUGCUCUCUCCAUCUCUGCACUAUCAGAUC
rnacentral:lncRNA from 1 species